AGAGAGGACGAAAGGGAUAUGCUAUUUCUUUUUGUCUGGGGGGCAGGCAAGUCGAGACAGAUAGAGAGAGCGUGCUGAAGUUGGUAGACUCCAAGUGGAGAUUGUUUGGUGACGACGCUGAUUAUUCAUUGGCGGCUUGAAGAAUUUUGGGGAUUUGGCGAAAUGGGUUUUUGCCCCUUAUUGUUUCUUUCUUUCUUUAAUACAACGGACGGUGCCAUUCGACUUUCAUAGAUUGAGAAAGAGAGAGAGAGAGAGAGAGAGAGAGAGACAUGCACAGAAAGAAGAAGAGGGAAAUUCACAUCACACGAGACUGAUCGGAGAGAGAAGGAGAAGCAUCUUUUUGUUAGUACAAAUAUAAGAGAAGAAGGAGACGGGAAGGAAAGUAGAGGCAGAGUAGAGAAAGGAAAAGAUGAAUGAAAAUAAUGAAGAGGAAGAGCCUUUGGGAUUUCGAUCCACUCUGAUCAAAAUUCCAAGUUGUGCGACAGAGGUCAGCUCCGGAGUUUCCAACAGAAAGGUGCUUUGUGCAAAAUUUCUUACUGCUUUUCCAUUGGGGUUUGCUUUGAGUGAAUCAAGAUGGAUGAGUAUUUCAAAGCUUAUUAGGCUGCUUUAAUAAAAAGACAAGAAGAAGAAGAAGCAACAAAGAGUCUUCAGGUUAGCAUGAAGUCAAAACUUCGAAGAUGAAGGACACGAUAAUGUUGACUGGGAAGAGGCUCCAGUUGCAGAUGCAUGAGAGCUUUCCAACUAUUGAAGAAAGAACAUACAAUUCAAAAAAGAGGCUCAAGGCUUAUUUGCAAGUGAUGAUCGAUACCGCUCAACUUUAGUUUUUUAUUUUGGUGUAUAUAUUGAAAGUUAAUUGUACUAUAUGAAAGUUCAAAGUCGAUCAAUAAAAUAGAGGCUGAGCUUGAACCUGAGCUUCAGAGGUUGGGGCUAAAUAUGAAUACUUCUACUUUACAUGGAGGAUUAACUUAUCUUGAUGAGAACAUGAGUUGUAGGACUGCUACAUGUUUUCUACAACGUACUGUAUGUGCUUGAUUGAGUUGGCAAGGCAAGCUGGGCCAACUGAGACUGGAAGUUGUCCCAAGUAAGAGGAAACUAAUCAACAUGCAAAAGGUUGCGGAAGAAGUUAUGAACACAUGUAUUCCCACCUAGCUUUGAAUUAAGGAA